CACGUAGGGCGCAAGCGUUGUCCGGAAUUAUUGGGCGUAAAGAGCUCGUAGGCGGUCUGUUGCGUCCGCUGUGAAAACUCGGGGCUUAACCCCGAGCCUGCAGUGGAUACGGGCAGACUAGAGGUAGGUAGGGGAGAAUGGAAUUCCCGGUGUAGCGGUGAAAUGCGCAGAUAUCGGGAAGAACACCCGUGGCGAAGGCGGCUCUCUGGGACGGUACUGACGCUGAGACGCGAAAGCGUGGGGAGCGAACGGG
rnacentral:rRNA from 1 species